GACGAACGCUGGCGGCGUGCUUAACACAUGCAAGUCGAACGGAAAGGCCCUGCUUUUGUGGGGUGCUCGAGUGGCGAACGGGUGAGUAACACGUGAGUAACCUGCCCUUACCUUUGGGAUAACUUCAGGAAACUGGGGCUAAUACCGGAUAGGAGCUCCUGCUGCAUGGUGGGGGUUGGAAGGUUUCGGCGGUUGGGGAUGGACUCGCGGCUUAUCAGCUUGUUGGUGGGGUAGUGGCUUACCAAGGCUUUGACGGGCAGCCGGCCUGAGAGGGUGACCGGCCACAUUGGGACUGAGAUACGGCCCAGACUCCUACGGGAGGCAGCAGUGGGGAAUAUUGCACAAUGGGCGGAAGCCUGAUGCAGCAACGCCGCGUGCGGGAUGACGGCCUUCGGGUUGUAAACCGCUUUCGCCUGUGACGAAGCGUGAGUGACGGUAAUGGGUAAAGAAGCACCGGCUAACUACGUG
rnacentral:rRNA from 1 species